AGCUAUGCAUUGAGCACAAAGUGAAUUAUUCUUUCGCUUUUUACUAAAGAAUAAUGUAUGCUCUUUGCUAUAAGUGGCAUAAUUCUAUUUUUGUAGGGGCGCAUUUUUGUGGGUGCCU